rnacentral:rRNA from 1 species
GCGGCAAAAGCUCAAAUUUGAAAUCUGGCGUCUUCGACGUCCGAGUUGUAAUUUGAAGAAGGCAACUUUGUAGCUGGUCCUUGUCUAUGUUCCUUGGAACAGGACGUCAUAGAGGGUGAGAAUCCCGUGUGGCGAGGAUCCCAGUUAUUUGUAAAGUGCUUUCGACGAGUCGAGUUGUUUGGGAAUGCAGCUCUAAGUGGGUGGUAAAUUCCAUCUAAAGCUAAAUAUUGGCGAGAGACCGAUAGCGAACAAGUACAGUGAUGGAAAGAUGAAAAGAACUUUGAAAAGAGAGUGAAAAAGUACGUGAAAUUGUUGAAAGGGAAGGGCAUUUGAUCAGACAUGGCGUUUGCUUCGGCUUUCGCUGGGCCAGCAUCAGUUUUAGCGGUUGGAUAAAUCCUCGGGAAUGUGGCUCUGCUUCGGUAGAGUGUUAUAGCCCGUGGGAAUACAGCCAGCUGGGACUGAGGAUUGCGACUUUUGUCAAGGAUGCUGGCGUAAUGGUUAAAUGCCGCCCGUC